CCGGGCUGCAGUGCGGGCAGAGCACCGGUCCAGCCCCUCCGAGCGCCGCCGCUCCCAAUCGGCAUGGCUGCGGGCUCGGGCCAGCCGGGCUGUGGUACCGGCGGGGGCUGGUGCUGAGCCGGGCCAGCCCUGAAACACUGCACACAACUGAUCCUGUCCAGGCUGAAUAACUGGCCUCCAAUAGAGCUGGCAUCUCCAGACACAGCAAGGAUGCAGUCCACAGAUGACAGAUCUCACCACACAGCUGGGACAUUUGAGGACAAAGGGCUGGAGUUGAGACAGCCACAUCCAUUAUUCUUUAUGGAUUCUGUAGGACAUGCCAGCACCCCUGCAUCCAACUUUCCACUGUCUUUGUGUGCACCUGCUGUGCUUCACCAUCCACAGAAAGCAGAGCCCUUUGAGACCACACCAAGUUGUUUUGCAGAUUCACUGUAUUAAAAAGAUUUCCACAGCCCUGCUUCUACAAGAGCUGGGCACAUCUCACAAAUUUAUCAUCUCACUCACCAUGGGCAAGUUUCCAUCACGAAAAUAUUUGUGGUUUUUUGUUUGUUUAACAAGAUCUAAAGCUUUCUGACUUAAAAAAAAAACCUUUCUGUAGAGGAACAUGCAGCUAUUUGGUUGAAUUAUAGAACCCAAGCAUUGUGUUUGACAUGUGC